CCGACCGAGGAGCGCUGCAAUCCGCCCAUCGCGGAUCAGGCUCGGCCGGGACGCGGCGGCCGAGGCAUUCGCCCCGGCCACCCGAUCAACGGCGCUCUUGAGAA
rnacentral:ncRNA from 2 species